rnacentral:lncRNA from 1 species
CUGAAAGUUAUGCUAUUUUCAAAUCUGAAGUUGAGUACAGUAAGUUAUGCUAUUUUCAGUUAGCCAUGUUAUGAGAUAUAGAUUCAGACACCAAGAAGCUAAGUUAACGAUGUUGGCAUUGUCAGAUUCCAACUAUGGCGAAUGAUUUACAACUAAAAUGCAUCUUGUACCACCAUAUUGACGUGAGAACUUUAUCCUGCAUGUCUUAGUAUUUGUUAGUCUCUGAAACUCUAUUCCUAGAUAUGGUCUUUGUUUAUUGUAAUUAGACCUUUUUCUUCUGUAAAUACAACUUGCUUACCAGAUUUUUUUUUUUUGUAGUUCAUCUCUAGCGUAUUUGGUGGUGAACAUUUACGGGGAGAGUAGAAUACAAGGUUAUGCAGUGUAAUAUCCAGAACAAAUAAGGAAGAAACAAUCUUGGUGUUGCUCUUUUCUUCUCUCCAAAAGUUGGUCAAUCCCGCUGCUUCCUGGGAUUGUUCAUCUGGACAGAAAGAUAUGCUGAUGGAGGAGUUUUAGGUAGACAACAGGAGUAUAGUUGUCAUGCAAUACAUAUACAAGCUACCAAUGUUGUACAAGUAAUAUACC